rnacentral:rRNA from 1 species
UGGGGAAUUUUGGACAAUGGGGGAAACCCUGAUCCAGCCAUCCCGCGUGUGCGAUGAAGGCCUUCGGGUUGUAAAGCACUUUUGGCAGGAAAGAAACGUCAUGGGUUAAUACCCCGUGAAACUGACGGUACCUGCAGAAUAAGCACCGGCUAACUACGUGCCAGCAGCCGCGGUAAUACGUAGGGUGCAAGCGUUAAUCGGAAUUACUGGGCGUAAAGCGUGCGCAGGCGGUUCGGAAAGAAAGAUGUGAAAUCCCAGAGCUCAACUUUGGAACUGCAUUGUUAACUACCGAGCUAGAGUGUGUCAGAGGGAGGUGGAAUUCCGCAUGUAGCAGUGAAAUGCGUAGAUAUGCGGAGGAACAUCGAUGACGAAGGCAGCCUCCUGGGAUAACACUGACGCUCAUGCUCGAAAGCGUGGGGAGCAAACAGG